GACGAACGCUGGCGGCGUGCCUAAUACAUGCCAGUUGAGCGCUGAAGGUUGGUACUUGUACCAACUGGAUGAGCAGCGAACGGGUGAGUAACGCGUGGGGAAUCUGCCUUUGAGCGGGGGACAACAUUUGGAAACGAAUGCUAAUACCGCAUAAAAACUUUAAACACAAGUUUUAAGUUUGAAAGAUGCAAUUGCAUCACUCAAAGAUGAUCCCGCGUUGUAUUAGCUAGUUGGUGAGGUAAAGGCUCACCAAGGCGAUGAUACAUAGCCGACCUGAGAGGGUGAUCGGCCACAUUGGGACUGAGACACGGCCCAAACUCCUACGGGAGGCAGCAGUAGGGAAUCUUCGGCAAUGGACGAAAGUCUGACCGAGCAACGCCGCGGGAGUGAAGAAGGUUUUCGGAUCGUAAAACUCUGUUGGUAGAGAAGAGCGUUGGUGAGAGUGGAAAGCUCAUCAAGUGACGGUAACUACCCAGAAAGGGACGGCUAACUACAUG
rnacentral:rRNA from 1 species